rnacentral:rRNA from 1 species
UACAGAGGGUGCAAGCGUUAAUCGGAAUUACUGGGCGUAAAGCGUGCGUAGUCGGUUAUCUAAGUCGGGUGUGAAAUCCCCGGGCUCAACCUGGGAAUUGCAUUUGUGACUGCAUCGCUGGAGUGCGGCAGAGGGGGAUGGAAUUCCGCGUGUAGCAGUGAAAUGCGUAGAUAUGCGGAGGAACACCGAUGGCGAAGGCAAUCCCCUGGGCCUGCACUGACGCUCAUGCACGAAAGCGUGGGGAGCAAACAGG